GGUCUGAGAUGCAUAUUUUUGUAACGACCCGAUCCCGGUUUUGGAGUUUGUUAGCCAGCUAAGUCAUAUGCAUUUACCUGUAAGACAAUUAUUUGCCUAUAAAUACCUACCUCUACAUUGAUUUCUCCUUUUGCAACAAGAAAAUAAAACUCAGAAGUUAGAGAGAAGAAGAAAUGAGAGAGAGAGAGAGAGAGAGAGUGAGAGAAAGAAAGAUAAAAACCAAUGCAUGUUGCCACCAGAGAUCGCCGGAACCACCACACGCCAGCACAUCGCCAAGCUCGUCAUCACCAUCAACCGCAGCUUAGAAUCGCCGGAAACCGCCGCCUCUUAAGCUUUGUUUUCGUCCGUUCAGUAAAUCAGCUAUAUCUCCAUAACCGUUGAGAAUCUCUCGCAUGCAAGACCAUCAUCGUGUUCCUCUCGUCGAGACGAAGCCGUAGACACCGACCACGCCGCAAUCGGAGUUCAGACGAAGCCGUACGCGCCUCCAAAAGUUACGCCGACUGCGCGCGUUUCUUCCACGCGCCGCCGCCGGAUAUCGCCUCCGCCGUCUUCCGCCACCGUCCUCCGCCGCAUCUCCGCCGCUGCCAGAAGUCGCCUCCGCCGCAGCUCCGCCGCCGCCGGGAAUCGCCUCCGCCGUCGCCGCCAACAAACUUUCCGAUAUGGAGUCUAUUUGAGCAGCUGGAGUUCAUAAACACUAUUUUUCUAUUGCUAAGGUGAGACAAAUAAGUAUGUGAUAUUUGGACGGACUUGGUGCUACUGGACUUUUCUUUCGGAUUUUAUUUGGGCUUGGGUGAGCGUUAUUGGGUUUAUGGGCUUUUAUAUUAUGGGAUAUUGUUGGUGGCCCAUCGUCCUUAGUGAGAAGGAGACGGAUGUCACAUUGUUGUAUGAUGACGCGUCGGGGGUGACACGCUGUCCUCCAGAUAGGAGGUGACGGGUGUCGCAAUUUUGGUAUCAGAGCCAGGUUCCAUCCCGGUUCCGUCCGGGAUGGCGGUCAGGGGAUUCGGUUUUCAUCGGUUUUCAACGUUCUUUUUGUUUUUUUUAAAAAAAUAUUUAUUAAUAUAUUUCGAAAUUCUUUUAGCACCAUUCUGUCCAUUAAUUACUAACUCAAAUGUCUCUUUCUAUGACGAUGAGUAAAAUCAUCGUCAUUCGUCCUUCGACUAACAGGGUUCUCGCCAGAUGUUCAGCAGUUGGGCGAUGUUUAAGUUCUUCAGUUUUCUCAAGAGUUAUCAGUUUCUUCGGUCAUGAUUUCGAGGUUAUCCAGGAGUGGAUAUGUGACGUUUCUGCCACCAGCCCACUUCAAGCAAUCGUUCCACGAGUUUUGUUACUGGAGAUUAUGUGAUGUGAGGUAUGAGCCAUUGGUUGGCAUGUGUACGAGUAUAUUAUCUAUUUUGGAGGUAUAUUUGUCUUGUGAACUCGUGGAGAUCGCUUUUGAAUUGGGAUGUGCCGGUUCGGAUAGCUGACAUAUGACAUUGGGAGCUAUUUAUAUUCAUGGUGUCGCACCAGUUAUGCUUGGUGGAGUCGAGUUAUCUGGAGCCCCUCAGAGAGAUGGAGCAGAGUUUUAUGAUGUUAUUGUUUUUUUUGGGAUGGAUUGGUUGUCACGACAUCGAGUAGUGUUGGUGUAACGACCCGAUCCCGGUUUUGGAGUUUGUUAGCCAGCUAAGUCAUAUGCAUUUACCUGUAAGACAAUUAUUUGCCUAUAAAUACCUACCUCUACAUUGAUUUCUCCUUUUGCAACAAGAAAAUAAAACUCAGAAGUUAGAGAGAAGAAGAAAUGAGAGAGAGAGAGAGAGAGAGAGUGAGAGAAAGAAAGAUAAAAACCAAUGCAUGUUGCCACCAGAGAUCGCCGGAACCACCACACGCCAGCACAUCGCCAAGCUCGUCAUCACCAUCAACCGCAGCUUAGAAUCGCCGGAAACCGCCGCCUCUUAAGCUUUGUUUUCGUCCGUUCAGUAAAUCAGCUAUAUCUCCAUAACCGUUGAGAAUCUCUCGCAUGCAAGACCAUCAUCGUGUUCCUCUCGUCGAGACGAAGCCGUAGACACCGACCACGCCGCAAUCGGAGUUCAGACGAAGCCGUACGCGCCUCCAAAAGUUACGCCGACUGCGCGCGUUUCUUCCACGCGCCGCCGCCGGAUAACGCCUCCGCCGUCGUCCGCCACCGUCCUCCGCCGCAUCUCCGCCGCUGCCAGAAGUCGCCUCCGCCGCAGCUCCGCCGCCGCCGGGAAUCGCCUCCGCCGUCGCCGCCAACAAACUUUCCGAUAUGGAGUCUAUUUGAGCAGCUGGAGUUCAUAAACACUAUUUUUCUAUUGCUAAGGUGAGACAAAUAAGUAUGUGAUAUUUGGACGGACUUGGUGCUACUGGACUUUUCUUUCGGAUUUUAUUUGGGCUUGGGUGAGCGUUAUUGGGUUUAUGGGCUUUUAUAUUAUGGGAUAUUGUUGGUGGCCCGUCGUCCUUAGUGAGAAGGAGACGGAUGUCACAUUGUUGUAUGAUGACGCGUCGGUGGUGACACGCUGUCCUCCAGAUAGGAGGUGACGGGUGUCGCAAUUUUGGUAUCAGAGCGGGGUUCCAUCCCGGUUCCGUCCGGGAUGGCGGUCAGGGGAUUCGGUUUUCAUCGGUUUUCAACGUUCUUUUUGUUUUUUUUAAAAAAAUAUUUAUUAAUAUAUUUCGAAAUUCUUUUAGCACCAUUCUGUCCAUUAAUUACUAACUCAAUGUCUCUUUCUAUGACGAUGUGUAAAAUCAUCGUCAUUCGUCCUUCGACUGUCAGAGUUCUCGCCAGAUAUUCAGCAGUUGGGUGAUGUCCAAGUUCGUCAGUUUUCUCAGGAGUUAUCAGUUUCUUCGGUCAUGAUUUCGAGGUUAUCCAGGAGUGGAUAUGUGACGUUUCUGCCACCAGCCCACUUCAAGCAAUCGUUCCACGAGUUUUGUUACUGGAGAUUAUGUGAUGUGAGGUAUGAGCCAUUGGUUGGCAUGUGUACGAGUAUAUUAUCUAUUUUGGAGGUAUAUUUGUCUUGUGAACUCGUGGAGAUCGCUUUUGAAUUGGGAUGCGGCAGCUUGCGUUGUGUGGAUGUUGGAGUGUUACACUUGGUAUGUUGCCAAUUGUGGUAGUGUUGAUCGUUCAGAGAUGUGCCGGUUCGGAUAGCUGACAUAUGACACUGGGAGCUAUUUAUAUUCAUGGUGUCGCACCAGUUAUGCUUGGUGGAGUCGAGUUAUCUGGAGCCCCUCAGAGAGAUGGAGCAGAGUUUUAUGAUGUUAUUGUUUUUUUUUUUUUUUGGGAUGGAUUGGUUGUCACGACAUCGAGUAGUGUUGGAUUGCCUGAAGGCACGAGUUUAUAUUGCUGGAGCAGAUGAAAUUUUUAUUGCAUGCAUGCUACAUACUGAGGAGUUAUGGAAUAUAAGAACAAAGAAAUUUUCGGCAACCAUUUCGAUGGUUAAGGAUGAUGGACAGCAUGAGCUGCAGGAUCUUCCGGUUAUUGCAGAGUAUGAGGAUAUAUUUGUGACCUUUGGAACGGUCACUACAAGACACAUGAGACGCUCUUGCGAAUUGUUUGGAGCAAACAUCAAUGGUUUCACGAGUUUCUUAUCAUCUAUCACGAGCAGGGAUGACCGAGUUGAGAAAGCAAUUGGAGGAACUCUUUGAUAAGGGAUUUAUCAGAUUGCUUACAUCACCAUGGAGAGCAUCAUUGUUGUUGUAAAGAAGAAAGGUGGGAGUUUCAGAUUUUUGUAUCGACUACAUAGACUUGAACAUGGUAACCAUCGUAUUGAUGAGUAGUUAUAUGAGAUUAAUGGAGGUUCAUCGUUCUCGAAGUUUGUCUUGGCAUCAGGAUACCAUCAGUUUGCUAUAGCUGAGGAGUAUGUACGGAAUGCAGAUUUCUGUUAUGGAUAUUAUGAGUUCAUAGUGAUACCAUUUGGGUCGACAAAGGCACCGUUGCAUUCAUGAAGAUAUGAAUGACGUUUUCGUGAACAUUUGGAUAGGUGUGCGAUUGUAUUCAUCAACGACAUCCUGGUUAUUUUGGAGUAGAAAGGAGAUUUAUAAGCAUUUCGCGGAUUGCGUUGGAUAAGCUUGGAGAGCAUCAGUUGUUCGCUACGUUGAGGAAUUGUAGCUUCUGAUAGAGGAAUGUUAGAUUUUUGGGUAACAUGGUUUUGGAAGCAAAAUUUUGAUAGAUCCAAAGAAGAUUAAUACCGUUCCGGGAAGGUCGAAACUUAAGAGCAAUACAGAGAUCUACCGUUCUUUUUGGGUUAACAGUGUACUACUAGAAGUUCAUCAAGGGUUUCAACGUUAUAGUAAUGUUGAAGAUACAGUCUACAUGUAAAGACGUUAAGUGUGGUUGGAUAGAUUUUUGUUUGAGGAGUUCACUGAAUAGAAGCACAACUAAUGAAGACACCAAUUUUGGUUCUGCAGAGGCUGAGGCUUACUCUGAUGUGUCAGAUACUGGCUUGGAUUUAAAUUGAGGUAAGAAGAUUAAGUCAUUCAUAUGCAUCACGCCAGAGAGGUUGUAGUGGUAAUUACGUUAUAGUUUUGGAGAUCGUAAUUGUACGAGAAGGAAGUCCAGAUUCUAUGGGAUCAUUAGAGUCUGACAUUUAUCUACACAUUAAAAAUUACAAUUUGGCAGUGCAGUCGGAAUGAGUUUGUAGCAGGCUGCAGUUUGGAUAUCGCAUGCCAUCUGGUAAGGACAACCAGGUGACAAAUGUCUUGGGUAGGCAUAUGAGCGACGUAUUUGGAACAAAGGAAGGUCAGGAGUUUACUGGGACAGUUGCUAGUCUCAAAUUGUGUGUCGUAUUGUCAAGGGAAAGACAUAUUGCCUUGAGGAUUGGAGCAUGCAGUUUUGCUAUGGAAGAUACACCAUGCGCAGGUUAGCGUUAUGGUUUUCGUUGAAUAGAUCGAGAUUGAGAAUAUUGGAGAUCAUACAGCUUUGAGCAGGACGUACCUAUAUCGAAACCGAGUUUGUGUGUUGGACGAUAAGCUGUUAAGAAAAGGGAUCUUACAGCAAACACAUCACUUAUGUUACUCUACCCAUCGGAAAUAAUAAGGAGUUCAAAGAUAUUAAGCGUUACUAUCAUUGACCUAUUAUGAAAAGAUUGUAGCCACAUUGCGUCGCAAGGAUAUAUAAGUCAGCUGGUUUUCCAUGAGGAUUAUAUACGGUUCAGGUUAUUGUUGAGCAUGCUUUUGACAAAGUGGAAUGAGACAUGGUGAUUAUGAAUAUCGUUACUGGAUUUUUAAAUCACCGUAUGUGGAAAGGAUGCCAUAUGGGUAGUCAUGGAUAGACUUACCGAGUGAAUCCAUCUCCUAAAUAAUUUAGAAGGCAGAGAGAGCUGAUCAGUUGGUGCAGAUUUUCAUCAACAUGAUUUUGAGGUUGCAUGAAGCUCUUGUCAACAUUGUAUCGGAUUGGGAUUCAAAGUUCACCUCUACAUUUUGGAUUCAUUCAGAAGGCGUUUGGGACAAGCGUUCACAAGAAUACAACUUAUUAUCAACAUACAAAUGGUCAGAGGACUACUCAGAACUUAAAGGAUAUAUUCAGGGAUUGCGUCUUCCAAUGGGAUGGAAGUUCAGAAAGCAUCGACCUCUAAUAGAGUUUACCUAUAUCGACAAUUAUCAUUCAAGCAUUGAGAUGGACAGUACGAGGCUGUUUAUGGUAGGCUUUAUCGUAUACCACUUUGUUGGACCAAAGUGGGGGAGCGACAUGAGUUAAAAUUAUUAAUGGUUCAAGAGAUGGAAGAGCAAAUGGACAUGCUCAAAGAUUGGCUUUGGGAAACCAAUAGCCGUCAGAAGAUUUAUGCAGCUAAGCGCCAUAAAGAUUUGGAGUUACAUAUAGGUUAUUUAGUAUACCUGAAAAUAAGGACAUUUCAGGAGGGAUCUAAGACUCAGAAGCUAAAGGAACCAAGGUACAUGGGAUUGUAUCCUUCGAAGGAGCGGAUUAGAGCAGUUGCUUGCAGCUGUUUUAUUAGCAGUGUAUCAGAUUUUUACAACGUGGUUCAUGUGUCAGCAUUGAGAAAAGUUGAAAGAAGACCAGAAUUAUUUUGCAGCAGACGCCAAAUCACCGCAAGAAGAUUGUACUCGCCUUGUCAGCUAGUGUAGAAUUCAGAUCAUCAAGCGAAAGCAGUUUAGAGAAAAUCGACUGUGUUUGUCAGAGUAUGUUGAGAGUGAGAUGAGACCUGAGAAAGCGAGCAUAUUGAUUAUUCAAGUUCGUUUCAAUGAUGUUGGGGAAUUAACGGACGACUCGAAUUCGGGGACGAAUUCUUUGUAGUGGGGGAGAAUUGUAACGACCCGAUCCCGGUUUUGGAGUUUGUUAGCCAGCUAAGUCAUAUGCAUUUACCUGUAAGACAAUUAUUUGCCUAUAAAUACCUACCUCUACAUUGAUUUCUCCUUUUGCAACAAGAAAAUAAAACUCAGAAGUUAGAGAGAAGAAGAAAUGAGAGAGAGAGAGAGAGAGAGAGUGAGAGAAAGAAAGAUAAAAACCAAUGCAUGUUGCCACCAGAGAUCGCCGGAACCACCACACGCCAGCACAUCGCCAAGCUCGUCAUCACCAUCAACCGCAGCUUAGAAUCGCCGGAAACCGCCGCCUCUUAAGCUUUGUUUUCGUCCGUUCAGUAAAUCAGCUAUAUCUCCAUAACCGUUGAGAAUCUCUCGCAUGCAAGACCAUCAUCGUGUUCCUCUCGUCGAGACGAAGCCGUAGACACCGACCACGCCGCAAUCGGAGUUCAGACGAAGCCGUACGCGCCUCCAAAAGUUACGCCGACUGCGCGCGUUUCUUCCACGCGCCGCCGCCGGAUAUCGCCUCCGCCGUCUUCCGCCACCGUCCUCCGCCGCAUCUCCGCCGCUGCCAGAAGUCGCCUCCGCCGCAGCUCCGCCGCCGCCGGGAAUCGCCUCCGCCGUCGCCGCCAACAAACUUUCCGAUAUGGAGUCUAUUUGAGCAGCUGGAGUUCAUAAACACUAUUUUUCUAUUGCUAAGGUGAGACAAAUAAGUAUGUGAUAUUUGGACGGACUUGGUGCUACUGGACUUUUCUUUCGGAUUUUAUUUGGGCUUGGGUGAGCGUUAUUGGGUUUAUGGGCUUUUAUAUUAUGGGAUAUUGUUGGUGGCCCGUCGUCCUUAGUGAGAAGGAGACGGAUGUCACAUUGUUGUAUGAUGACGCGUCGGUGGUGACACGCUGUCCUCCAGAUAGGAGGUGACGGGUGUCGCAG